rnacentral:piRNA from 1 species
UUCAGGCCAUAAAGAUGGAGAAACCUCCCUG